rnacentral:lncRNA from 1 species
CGGCCGUGUUCGUCGUUCCACACCCUGGCAGUCGAUCCCAUCCGCCACUGCUUCACUAGCCUCCUCCGCCGGCGUCUCCGCGAGGGCGCUUGACGCUAGGCAGGCCAUGGACGCGCUGGACCUCAAGGCCGUCCGUGCUGCUCCUGCUCCGGGUGAGCACACCCAGAACUAUAUUUAUAUAAGAAUAUUUUUGUGAGAUAUAUGUGUUAUUUCAAUGCUCUUUUGUGUGGUUUAGGCAUUCUGUAGUUAACUUGUCAAAGAUUAAAAAUUGGGUGUGUCUAUGCCAUAUGCUCCCUGUUGCUGGGACAUUAUGAUGUGCCAUUUUUAUUAUCAUGUUAGCCUGGUCAACCUUAUCAUCUGAACUGUCAUACUAGAUGGUUUCUAGGUGUAUAUCUAUGGAUGCAGUCCAUAGCUAGUAUAUGAUGUUUAAUAUUUUUCCUGACUUUACCAUGGAAAGUUAGUGUCGGAAUUUUUUGGUUUAGUACAAUGAACAAAUGUUCACAUUGCCUCAAUGGUGCAUAUUUUACUGUAUCAAAACAACUGUAUGCUUCCCUCAUUGAUGCUACUACAAAUAAUAUAUUUCAGUGCGCGGAUGCUGGAGGGGUCGUGCCUGAGGAGACCGAGCUCGCCAUGCUGCUCCUUUUCAAUGCCAACAAGGGAAGGGCCGACGAGGAGAACAGGGUCCCUACACCAACAUGUUAGGUUUCCCUGGCUGCUCGGUAGUUCUCGGACCGCUGCCUAAUUUUCCUUGGUCUCGUAGGUAACUGGCGCAACCACUGUAACUUGAGACGGUGGACUGGAGGAAGGAUCAUGAGAACAACUACACAAUGUUAUGGAUGGACAGGAUGAUGGUAAGUAAUUCUUGAGUAUGAUAGCAUGUCAUCUAGCUCAACCAUGUUGACUUUGAAUAAAAUCUUGAGCUAUCUCAGUUUCUCCAUACCUUGCAAGACAUUUGGUGAGUACAUUUGAGAAACCAUACAAGGUUUCUCUGUAUUCACCUUCUAUCAUGCUGCCCUUUCACACUAUGAUCUUGUUUAGAUGCACACCGCUCACUUUUUAAGAAAAUGUGUGAUGUAAAUACUGGGGAUGUGGAUAUAUAAUGUAUGUAAAUGUGGCUGAAACAAAUUAUUGUAAAUUGCAGAAUGUUCUAUUGUUUCAUAAGGAUAAACCAGGAUAUUUUAUUUACCAUGUAUUAUUUGUCACCGAGUAAUGAUCUGGGGUUGUGUGUGUAGGGAGGGUGAAUCAGAUCUAGGAGCACAUUGACUACGAGGUUUGUCGACAUGACAAGUACCGUAUGUGUGUCUACUCGUCCAACCUGAUAAUUCUCCAUUUGGUCACCUUUGAUUGAUAUCCUCCAAAAUAGGAGGAGAUUCUGCUUUUGCUAAAUCUCCUUGUGUAUGUGCUUCUUGCACCUAUUGAUGCUACAAGUUAAGUAAUCAGAUGAGCCCUUCAUGUGUUGUAUGCAAGAUUCCAACAUGUUCUUCAUUUUGUUCUGAUGCAACAGUCAGCUGGAUGCGGGAGAAUCAAUGCACAUAAACUUGUUCUUUCUCUAUUUAAAAGCAUUGAAGAUCAUAAUAUUACGCACUAUCAAUUUGUUUUUUCUUGGCAAUCGGUAUUGCUAAUACCCCUUUCGGUCUUUAACAUUUGUUUUUUCUCGUGGACACAUGUAUGAACACUUCACCUGUCUUCAUUCUUUCUAGAUCUCAUAAGUAGUAAUUUCUUAAAGAUUGUAUAACCUGUAUACUUCACUUUAAUUCAUGUGUGACAACAGUAAAGGAAAUCAUCUGAUGAACUGUUCACGAUAUAAUUUUUUAUAGGCUUAGAUUUAAUUAAGGUCUAUCUAUUGUAGUUUAAGCUUGAACAUAUCAUUAGGGCUAGUUCUUGUGGUGUUUUUUGGGCUUCUAGAAUAAGUUGCCCCUUACCCAGCUUAUUUUAGAAGCCCAACCAUAUAGUGUCAAAAACACUCUUAUAUUAUGGGAUGGAGGGAGUAGGCUUCUAAGCAAAUAAUUUUCUAGAAUAAGCUAGGUAGGGGGCAACCUAUUCCAGUUUUUCUAGAAGGCAGCAAAAGAACUGGCCUUUAGUAAUUAGUAUGAUCUUCUGAUGUUGGAGUCUCGAGGUGGAGAGUUUACACAAUAUGAUAUAAUAUGAAUUUUAACUUACUAGUGUUCAAUAUUUCUAACCUGAUUUAUGGAAGAAACAAAAGCUAGGCCACACAGCCACAUAAAGUCCUCUAAAAUGUUCACUGCUUGCAUCCAUGUGACUUCCUUAUAUACACUAUCUGCAUUCUACUCUCAGCUUGCUGCAUUUUUCUUAUUUCAUGUUAUGCUUAAUUUGCUUCUAAUGUAUUGUCCCUCCCUAUGGCAGGACGAAACACUUCUUGGAAUUCUUAAAGAGGAAGUCAAUGGAGCCAUGCUGUUGUUGUGCAACAGGCUAUGUUUUUCGUAAUACCAUUUGUCUGGGCUGUGUAAUCUUAGUUUGUGUGUGCUGGGAUACUCAAAAAGCUAUCUAUCUAAUAUAAAUCUGUAUUAUGUUGUCUAGCCUCUGUAAUCUUAUUUUGUGUGUGCUGGGAUAUUAAAAAAGCUAUCUGUCUAAUUUAAAUAUGUGAUGUAUUCUUCACUUAACUUUACUUGUAGUACAGUUUCUAGUCUAAAAAUGCUAAACGACCUUUUUUGAGCUAAAAAAGGCUAAAUGGCCUAAUAAUACAUAAUGGAUCGGACAUGGGCUUUGG